GAAAGGGUUGAAGAAGGAGAGGGAGAAGGACGCAGGAUCAGAGGAGGCUGAGGCGGGGAGAGUGAAAGAUGGAGAAGUAGGACAAGUGCGGUCAGACGUCGACAGCGAUACAACUAAAAACUCAGCCCAGAACUGAGGGAGGAAGAAGGAGAGGCGAGGAUGUCUGCCGCACAUGCACUGACAUGAGGCAAGCUGGAGGUCAAACACCAAUAUGAUACUGAACUUCAGCAGAUGGAGGAAGUGAUAUUUGGAUGGAUUUGCAACAUUCCCUUUCUGGCAUCACCAACCAGCACAAGAGGCCAUCAACCUGACCAUCCAAGUGUUUGUGAGUGUGUGAACAUACCAACAACCAAGAGAAGGAUGGAGGUCCGGAGCUGAUUGUCCAAACGCAAUUCUUGCGUCUGCCUUUGUGAAACCAGGAGUUGUGGAUGGACAUCACGCCCCUGACCUCUGAAAAUCAGCGAGGGACAGACCACCAUGGACGGGAUAAAACUCAGUGGCUUUGUGGGUGGAUGAGCGGGAGACAGUGAAAGACAAACAGAGAGAGGGAGAAAGCGAGGGAGAUAUUGAAUAAGGGAGAGUGUGUGUUUAUGUAAAUGUAAAGCCUGUAAGAGCCUCUCUUGACAUUUUUGGAGGUCAGCUCAACUUUUUCUUCCAAGCAAGACCAGAAUUGUUACAAGUUGUAAAAUCUUUCUGUUCAAAGUUUUUACUCGUGACAGAACAACAGGUCAUCUCUGCUCUUCAGGUGUGUAAUGAAAGCAUAGGUUUCUUGUACAGAGCAGUUACAGGCUGAUGCAAAAUUAAUGUCAUUAUUGGUUUGUAAGGUAAUGGCACUGGACAGCGACAGCAGGUGAUGAGCAGUAAAGAGGAAGUCCAUUCAUUUAUUUGGCAAUUCACACAACUUAAAUUCGUCUAUGUCAAAUUCUUCCCUCACAUAUUUCAUGGCAAAUCUUCUUUUUUUUCCCAAAAUGUAAAAGAUAUUGAAAUCUUUCACUCUGAUGUGAAAAAGCUUAGGUUCAGCAGGUUUUAACAGGCUUAUGGUUGACUUGAUGCUCUCAGGAAGAGAAAGGAACGAAUAGCCCAGCUGUCAAUGCCAUUUAUUUUCUACUUUUUAUUCUAAUUUUCCUGCUCAGGUGCAAAGCCUGACACAAAUACAGGCCCGGCUCUGCAGAUCAGGGGCGUCCCAUUUUGAAAAGGGGGUUAGAGUGUGUUGGCGGAGCAGAAAGGGCUGCUCUCACCAUGUUAAGUACAGUUGAAUGUGUCCGGUUCGCACUUCAGCGCCGGUGUCUAGAGAGGGCCUUGCUAAAUUUGCAGUGGAAGGGGUGAGAGUGACAGAAAGGGAGAGUGAAUGGGGGGAGGGAGGUGUGUGUGUGUGUAUGUGUGCAUCUGUGUGUGUGUACUCACCCUCUCUGUGUUUGCCCCUGUGAAUUUGCCUCUGUGUGUUUUUUCCUGUGUUUGACAAAGUUCAGGGGGCCAGACUUGGAGAGAGAAAAGGGAAAAUGAGAGAAAGUAAAGGGUUUGAAUGAGGCGGUGAGAGAGACAGAGGGAGAGAGAGAGACGGUGAGCAGGCAAAAAAGAAAAAGAAGGCAAAGAUCCGACAGAGAGUGAGAGGGGAGGACAGAGAAGAGCACAAGAGGACAUUUUUGGAGGGAAAAAGAAGACCAGGCACCUUGAAAUUUGUGUGGCGAAAUACUCCGCUGCUUCACAGCACGAGUGGCGUAAAUUGGCGAUAUUUAUAGAUUGAAGCUGCAGGAAGCGACAACUCAUUCUGGGAAAUAUGUAUAGAGAAAGAGAAAGAGCAAGGGAGGGAGAGAGUGGGAGAAGGAGGGUGGGAGGGAGAUCAAGAGCGAGGCUGCAUUAAUAUGCUAAUGGCCUGAGUGAAUGCACAACAGGCCCACUGACCAGGCUAAUCACUGGUGGACACACACUGAGGCUAAUCCCUCACACAGCACUCACACACACAUGCAGUCAGACAUGCACAUACAGUGCAGGUUCAAAUAUUUGGACAGUGACAUAUUUUUUUUGUUGCUCUGUAUUUCAGCUCAUUGGAUUUGAAAUGAAACACUGAGUAUGAGCUUAAAGGGCUGACUUUAAGGUUUCAUUUCUUAAUGUUUGUUUCCAUUUUGGGUGAUUAUUAGCAGUGUGGGAAUCAUGUUUCUUCUUAUAUGUAGCCCCUUAAUUUUAUUACAAUUUAGCAGGAUAAUGAUCCCAAACAUACCAACCAGAUAUUUUCUAGGGUCGAACAUUAGAAUGUGACUACACUCAAACUGAGCAUGUGUUUUACUUGCUGAGUACCAGAUCCAAUACAAAAAAAACAUUUGAAAAUGACUGUGUCUGCUGAUGUCUGUGGGUUGCAGACUUCAGACAGAAACUGACUGCAAAUGAUUUGCAACUGCAAUACUCAUAGUAUAAUUAACUCAGUUUAAGUUAAUGUAACAUUUUCAGUUAUUUUAAUUAUAAAGUUUAAGGGGAAAGGCAAAAACAUGUAGUUUGACAUGGAUGCAUAAUAUGUCAUGAUUGAUCUUUAAAUCCAGUGUGCAGGAGAACAGAGCCAAAAAAAAAAAAAAAUCAAAAA